AACGCCCCGCGUCGACUCGAAGACGAGGAUAUAUUUUGAUAGCGAUCGACAUUUUCUUCUUUCUCUCCGCACAGCAAAAUAGUACUAAUUUUCUUUUAUUCCAUUCUGCAGGUCGAUUAUACUCGGUUUGAAUACUCGUCGAUCUUCCAAAACGAAAGCCGAUACCCUUGAUCAUCUUGGCGAUACUCUCCUGGGUCGCUGGAUUAUCUUGUAAUAGGAUAUAACUACACAAGUAUACACACACACACACACACACACACAUACGUAUAGACUUAUACAAGAUAAGGCAGCAUUCCUCUUUCAAUCCGAGCAACACCUGGACGAAAUACACACAGUAUCAGUGUAACCACUCUUUGCAUCUGUACAUCCGCAGACACCAGAGGCUCUCGAGAGAAGAGAAUGGAGUCCGCGGGGGGACGACGAGGCUGAGUGAUGGAUGUAUCUCCGGGAAGGACACACGCCUAAAAAGAAGACGUCGAGAAAGAGAGAAUAAGAAGAACGAGGAUCGGAUUUAACGAUUGAUUUCCCGCCAAGCAGAGACAGUGUGGAAAUGCCUCGGAGCUGAAAGAGGUUUACGAGGAUUUUGUAAGGAACUGUAGUAAAGGAGUAAAAAAAGUCCAUACGGGGACAGUAAAUGCUAAUCUUCGACGUACCUUUGACUCGGUUGGAA